CACUCCUGCGGGAGGCAGCAGUGGGGAAUUUUGGACAAUGGGCGAAAGCCUGAUCCAGCAAUGCCGCGUGUGUGAAGAAGGCCUUCGGGUUGUAAAGCACUUUUGUCCGGAAAGAAAUCCUUGGCUCUAAUACAGUCGGGGGAUGACGGUACCGGAAGAAUAAGCACCGGCUAACUACGUGCCAGCAGCCGCGGUAAUACGUAGGGUGCGAGCGUUAAUCGGAAUUACUGGGCGUAAAGCGUGCGCAGGCGGUUUGCUAAGACCGAUGUGAAAUCCCCGGGCUCAACCUGGGAACUGCAUUGGUGACUGGCAGGCUAGAGUAUGGCAGAGGGGGGUAGAAUUCCACGUGUAGCAGUGAAAUGCGUAGAGAUGUGGAGGAAUACCGAUGGCGAAGGCAGCCCCCUGGGCCAAUACUGACGCUCAUGCACGAAAGCGUGGGGAGCAAACAGGAUUAGAUACCCCUGUAGUCCCA
rnacentral:rRNA from 1 species